AUGCAAGUCGAACGAGCGAGAGAGAGCUUGCUUUCUCGAGCGAGUGGCGAACGGGUGAGUAACGCGUGAGGAACCUGCCUCAAAGAGGGGGACAACAGUUGGAAACGACUGCUAAUACCGCAUAAGCCCACGGGUCGGCAUCGACCAGAGGGAAAAGGAGCAAUCCGCUUUGAGAUGGCCUCGCGUCCGAUUAGCUAGUUGGUGAGGUAAUGGCCCACCAAGGCGACGAUCGGUAGCCGGACUGAGAGGUUGAACGGCCACAUUGGGACUGAGACACGGCCCAGACUCCUACGGGAGGCAGCAGUGGGGAAUAUUGCACAAUGGGGGAAACCCUGAUGCAGCGACGCCGCGUGGAGGAAGAAGGUCUUCGGAUUGUAAACUCCUGUUGUUGAGGAAGAUAAUGACGGUACUCAACAAGGAAGUGACGGCUAACUACGUGCCAGCAGCCGCGGUAAAACGUAGGUCACAAGCGUUGUCCGGAAUUACUGGGUGUAAAGGGAGCGCAGGCGGGAAGACAAGUUGGAAGUGAAAUCUAUGGGCUUAACCCAUAAACUGCUUUCAAAACUGUUUUUCUUGAGUAGUGCAGAGGUAGGCGGAAUUCCCGGUGUAGCGGUGGAAUGCGUAGAUAUCGGGAGGAACACCAGUGGCGAAGGCGGCCUACUGGGCACCAACUGACGCUGAGGCUCGAAAGUGUGGGUAGCAAACAGGAUUAGAUACCCUGGUAGUCCACACCGUAAACGAUGAUUACUAGGUGUUGGAGGAUUGACCCC
rnacentral:rRNA from 1 species